GUAGACAACUCCACUGGAUUAUUGCUGCUCUCCGGUGACGAUUCGACAACCUAAAUCAUUUUUUCCGGCGAACUCGUUGAAAAUUUCCCGGCGAUCUCGAAGGGCUUUGUAUUUUUUGGGCGUUAAUCUAACUGACGUGGAUCUGUUAGAAUUUCUUCAGCAGCUUGCUGAUACAGAUGGAUCAUCUAUAGUACCCCAUCAAUGAAUCGGUUCCUGAAUAACAAGGUUUGCAGAAGUAAGUUAAUAUUUAGUUUCUGAAUUUGGAGCUACCUUGAUGCUCUCUCGCCUUCAUCCACCCUGCAUAGGAAAAAGCGAAAGAACAGGUUAUCUGUAUUGGUGGUAAUGAAAAUGGGUACAGAAACGAAAUUAGUUGGUGAGAAACCCAAGAAAGGGUUGUCUUAGCACCAUGCCUUUCAUCAUUGGUACUCUAUUACUUCUCUUUCUUUUUUUUUCGUUUUUAAAUCGUUUGCAUGCAUUAAGUACUAAUUAUUUUUAAAAGAAAUCUUUUUUUUUUCAGUGGAUGAGAAGCAUUUGAAAGGUGGUAAGUUAUGGUUUACAAUUCAACAUGAUAAUUUACUUGAUGACGUAUUAUAACAUGAGUGCUGCCACUUUCAAAUGGGUUGGCCAUUGUUGGGGUCAUUUUAGAGCUGUUGCCUUGGGAUCCAUAUCCACUCUUAUUGUGAGUUGUGCCAUUUCACAAUUCCACCAAGAUGUUUUUCUUUUGAAAUACUAAUUGUUUCAUCAGUUUUGAGUCAAUCUGGAUUUCAUUGUUUGAUUUAGUUAUUAUAAUUGUGCUCGCCUUACCUAUUCCACCGGGUACCUGCAACCUUCCACCAAUACGGAUAACUUGAGCAACUCUUCUCAGCAAGACUAAGGUAGACUAAGGUUGUCUGGGGUGAAGCAUAAUUGAUGGAUUGUUUCCUGAUUAGCUAUUUUCCUUUACAUGGUCUAGAUUUUUGACUUUGAUUGUUUCUUAAAAGUGGAAAAUAGUGUCCUGCUAGAGAAUGGGAAAUAUAUAGCUCAACUUUUUCUGAUUUUGUUAAUGUUUUUAGGUUCACUAGAGGUGGGCUGCUGAGAACAUCAUAGUGAAGUGACUAACGAUGGCAAGUCACGAUUUCAUGCAGUUUUAAUUGUUUCGAUUAAUUGCACCUGCUAAUUUGUGUGUUGCUUGCACAAAGGGCAUAUGCUUUAUAUGAAAAUUGAUACUCUGAGAUUUUAGGAGAAAGUUCCACUUUUCUUGGUGCGUCUUCUCUAAUUCCUAAGCUAACUUGAUGCUUGCAGCCAUGAAAGAUCACAAAGCUUUUGAGCUGAUUUGUGUUGUGGCUUUGCAAAGUUCAGUUUCUUUGUCCUUCCUCACCAAACCACCCUUUUCGUGAAAUUACACAUGAGCUUCCUCUUUUCUUAUUCUUUUUACUCUCUCUAUUCCAUUUUAUAAGCGAUGAGGAUCUGGAGGUUUUAUCUUCCGUGGAAUUUCAAUAAAACUUGUUUUCUCUCGAGCUGAUUAAACUGUUGCUUGGCACGGCACCCCAGGUGGGUCUAUGAGAUUUUGGAAUUAAAUUUCCAUUUCAUGGUGUUUCUUCUCCGUCCCAUAAGGCUAACUGUUGUUUGCAGCCGCAACAGAUUUAAUGCUUUUGAGCUGAUUCGUGUUUUUACUUGGCAAAAUUUGGAUGUUUUCAUCCGUUGAUGUUCAAUCAAGCAUGUUGCCUGUCGAGCUAAAUAACUGUUGCUUGGCAUGACACUUCAGGUGGGUCUAUGAGAUUUUGGGAAAAGUUCCAUUUUAUGGUCCUCCUUCUCUGUCUCAUAGGCAAACUGAUGCUUGCAGCCAUGCUGGGUUCCAUAGUUUUUGAGCUUAUCAUGUUUUGGACCACAAAGUUGAAUUUUUGUCACUAAAUCACCCUUUUGGUGAAACUACACGACUUUCUACUUUUCUUGUUCUUAUUACUCUCUCUGGUAUUACUCACAAAAGCAAUUUAACAGGGUUUUUCUCUAGUUGAAAACUGUUGCUUGGCAUGGCACCUUAGGUGGGUAUAUGAGAUUUAGGAGAAAGUUCCAUAUCAUGGUGCGUCUUCUCUGUCUCAUAAGGCUAACUGAUGCUUGCAGCCAUGACAGAUUUCAAAGCUUUUGAGCUGAUUCGUGUUUUGGCUUGGCAAAGUUUAGUUUCUUUUCCCCCCUCAUUGAACCAACCUUUUCGUGAAAUUACACAUGAGCUUCCCCUUUUCUUUUUCUUAUUACUCUCUCUCCUCUGUUUUAUAAACGAUGAGGAUGUGGAGGUUUUGUCUUCUGUGGAAGUUCGAUAAAACUUUGUUUUCUCUUGAGCUGAUUAAGCUGUUGCUUGGCACAACAUCUCAUGUGGGUCUAUGAGCUUUUUGAAUUUAAUUUCCAUUUCAUGGUGUUUCUUCUCUGUCUCAUAAGGCUAACUGUUGUUUGCAGCCACAACGGAUUUCAGUGCUUUUGAGCUGAUUCAUGUUUUUACUUGGCAAAGCUCAGUUUCUUUCUCACCCCUCACCGAACCACCCUUUUUGUGAUAUAACACAUGCACUGCCUCUUUUCUUACUCUUAUUACUCACUCUGCUCCAUUUUAUACACAAUGAAGAUUUGGAUGUUUUCAUCUGUUGAUGUUCAAUCAAACAUGUUGCAUGUGGAGCUAAAGAAUUGUUGCUUGACAUGACACUUCAGGUGGGUCUAUGAGAUUUUGGGAAAAGUUCCAUUUUAUGGUCCUUCUCUGUCUCAUAGGCAAACUGAUGCUUGCAGCCAUGCUGGGUUUCACAAUUUUUGAGCUUACCGUGUUUUGGCACCACUAAGUUCAAUUUUUUUGUCACUAAAUCCCCCUUCUGGUGAAACUACACGACCUUCUACUUUUCUUGUUCUUAUUAUGCUCUCUUGUAUAACUCAAAAAAGCAAUUUAACAUGUUUUUUCUCGAGUUGAAAACUGUUGCUUGGCAUGGCACCUCAGGUGGGUAAAUGAGAUUUAGAAGAUAUUUCCACUUCAUGGUGCGUCUUCUUUGUCUCAUAAGGCUAACUGAUGCUUGCAGCCAUGACAGAUUUCAAAGCUUUUGAGCUGAUUCGUGUUUUGGCUUGUCAAAGUUUAGUUUCUUUUCCCCCCUCACCGGACCAUCCUUUUAGUGAAAUGACAGAUGAGCUUCCUCUUUUUUUAUUCUUAUUACUCUCUCUCCUCUGUUUUAUAAACGAUGAGGGUGUGGAGGUUUUGUCUUUCAUGCAAGUUCAGUAAAAUUUGUUUUCUCUUAAGCUGAUUAAACUGUUGUUUGUCAUGGCACAUCAGGUGGGUCUAUGAGAUUUUUGAAUUAAAUUUCCAUUUCAUGGUGUUUCUUCUCUGUCUCAUAAAGCUAAAUGUUGUUUGCAGCCACAACGGAUUUCAGUGCUUUUGAGCUGAUUCAUGUUUUUACUCUGCAAAAUUCAGUUUUUUUCCCACCCCUCACCGAACCACCCUUUUUGUGAUACUACACAUGCACUUUCUCUUUUCUUAUUCUUAUUACUCACUCUGCUUCGUUUUAUACACAAUGAAGAUUUGGGUGUUUCCAUCCGUUGAUGUUCAAUCAAACAUGUUGCAUGUCGAGCUAAAGAACUGUUGCUUGGCGUGGCACUUAAGGUGGGUCUAUGAAAUUUUGGGAAAAGUUCCAUUUUAUGGUCCUGCUUCUCUGUCUCAUAGGCAAACUGAUGCUUGCAGCCAUGCUGGGUUUCACAGCUUUUGAGCUUAUCUUGUUUUGGCACCACAAAGUUCAAUUUACUUUGUCUCUAAAUCACCCUUUUGGUGAAACUACACGACCUUCUACUUUUCUUAUUCUUAUUACUCUUGCUGGUAUAACUCAAAAAAGCAAUUUUACAUCUUUUUCUCGAGUUGAAAACUGUGUUGCUUGGCAUGGCACCUCAGGUGGGUAUAUGGGAUUUAGGAGAAAGUUCCAUUUCAUGGUGCGUCUUCUCUUUCUCAUAAGGCUUAACUGAUGCUUGCAGCCAUGACAGAUUUCAAAGCUUUUGAGCUGAUUCGUGUUAUGGCUUGGCAAAGUUCUGUUUCCUUUCCCCUCCCACCAAACCACCCUUUUUGUGAAAUUACAUGUCAGCUUCCUCUUUUCUUAUUCUGAUUACUCUCUUUGCUACGUUUUAUCAACCUUGAGGAUGUGGAGGUUUUGUCUUCUGUUGAAGUUCAAUAAAACUUAUUUUUUCUUGAGCUGAAAAAUUGUUGCUUGGCACGGCACCUCAGGUUGGUCUAUAAGAUUUUUAAAUUAAAUUUCCAUUUCAUGAUGUUUCUUCUGACUUUGAACUAUUUCCUUGUUAUUGCAUGCUUUCCCAAAAUUAAAUUAAAUCUUGUUAGUUAGUAGAGUAUUGCAUGCUUUCCCACAAAGUUUUGGCUUUAAAGGAGAGGCUCUGAGCUCUAUUUCUGACAUUUCUUUGUUGGAAAUUGUUACUAAAACUCUUGGGAUGCCAAAUGGAUAUUGCAAGGUUUUGAAGGAUGGGAAGUGUUUGUACCUUGGAUUUGGUAACUGUAGACAUGAAAAUCUGAAGAAUUAUUUGAUACCAAAAGCUAUGCUCUCCUCUUGGGUGCAUGGGGACUCGCAUAAAUGGAUUGGUGCUGGAAAUUUAGGUAAAACAGAUGAGCUUAUAAGGAAGAAGAAGAGUAGAAGAUGUCAUUCAGCUCCUCCCUUUUACCAAGGCAAGAAGAAGUUCCUUGCCACGAGUGAGUCUUCAGAAAGGCUGGAUGAAAUAACAAUACAAGACUGUUCAUGAUGUGCCACUCAUACCAGAAACUAGAGCAGUAAGGAGACUGCAGAAGCUUUCUGUAGCUUCCACAGCUGUCAUCCCACCAGUGUGAUCAAUCUUCCACCCCAAGUUGUGGUAAUCGUGUAUUCUUUGAUGAAAGGCCAAGUGUGAAAAUGAAACUUGUUAACAUCUGGAAUAGUAAAUUACAAGCUCCAGGGGAGUGCACAAUUACAUGUGAUGUGGAGUAAAAAGAAGGUAAACCAUUCCUUCCAUUUGUUACUGACCUGAAUAAGAGCCUAAGUUGCAUGGUGUAAUGUCCCAUAUUUAAACAAGGACAUAUUAGUCCUUAGCAAAAGAAAAAGAAAAAAAAAAAAAAGAAACUUGGCAAUGCUAGCCUUUUAAGGUCUAUUGGAAACAACUUCUCUAGUACCCCACAAAGGACCGGGGUAAGGUCUAUCUACCAAUGCUACCUUUUAAUUAUAGGAUAAGGCUGUGAUGAUGACAAAUGAAGUUGUAUAGUGUUGGGUCAGUUAUUGGAGUUACCAUUAUCGUGGCAAGGCAACCCGGUAAGGCAUCUCCAUUUUGCAACCGAGAUCUGCAGCCAUGGCGGUUGCUUCGUCUCCUUUUGCCUGGUUUUAUUACAAAUCUGAGCCUC